rnacentral:rRNA from 1 species
UUACCAAGACGAUGAUGUGUAGCUGGACUGAGAGGUCGAACAGCCACAUUGGGACUGAGACACGGCCCAAACUCCUACGGGAGGCAGCAGUAAGGAAUUUUUGGCAAUGGAGGAAACUCUGACCGAGCGACGUCGCGUGAACAAUGAAGUACUUCGGUAUGUAAAGUUCUUUUAUUGAAAAAGAAAAAAUAGUGGAAAAACUAUCUUGACAUUAUUCAAUGAAUAAGCCCCGGCUAAUUAUGUGCCAGCAGCCGCGGUAAUACAUAAGGGGCGAGCGUUAUCCGGAAUUAUUGGGCGUAAAGGGUGCGUAGGCGGUUUGAUAAGUCUAUAGUUUAAAUGCAGUGCUUAACGCUAUAGCGCUAUAGAAACUGUCUGACUAGAGUUAGAUAGAGGCAAGCGGAAUUCCAUGUGUAGCGGUAAAAUGCGUAAAUAUAUGGAGGAACACCAGAGGCGUAGGCGGCUUGCUGGGUCUUAACUGACGCUGAGGCACGAAAGCGUGGGGAGCAAACAGGAUUAGAUACCCUGGUAGUCCACGCCGUAAACGAUGAGUACUAAGUGUCGGGUUUCGGCUCGGUACUGAAGUUAACACAUUAAGUACUCCGCCUGAGUAGUACGUACGCAAGUAUGAAACUUAAAGGAAUUGACGGGACCCCGCACAAGCGGUGGAUCAUGUUGUUUAAUUCGAAGAUACACGAAAAACCUUACCAGGUCUUGACAUAAUUUUGCGACAUUAUAGAAAUAUAAUGAAGGUUAUCAGAAUUACAGGUGGUGCAUGGUUGUCGUCAGCUCGUGUCGUGAGAUGUUAGGUUAAGUCCUAAAACGAGCGCAACCCUUGUCGUUAGUUGCGACCACGUAAUGGUGAGCACUUUAGCGAGACUGCCAAUGAAAAAUUGGAGGAAGGUGAGGAUUACGUCAAAUCAUCAUGCCCCUUAUGAUCUGGGCUACAAACGUGAUACAAUGGCUGUUACAAAGAGUAGCUACAACGUGAGUUUUUAGCCAAUCUCAAAAAAACAGUCUCAGUUCGGAUUGAAGUCUGCAACUCGACUUCAUGAAGUUGGAAUCGCUAGUAAUCGCGAAUCAGCAUGUCGCGGUGAAUACGUUCUCGGGGUUUGUACACACCGCCCGUCAAACCACGAAAGUUGAUAAUACCCGAAAGCGGUCGCUUAACUUCGUCAGAAGAGGGA